GGGAUUCUCUUAUUCAUUACCUCACAACAAUAUAUCACCAUUAAUCUUUGCAUAUAUAAACAAAUGAAGUUGAUUUUUCAUAUAACCAUAAAUUACACAAUGGCAUGAUUCUUCUCAUCGUCUAAGGGCAAAUAUACAAAUUCGUCUGAAAACUUGCCUUCGAUUCCCUCCAAGGUUAAUUUUCCUCCAUUAAAGUCGUUGCAAUACAAAUACAGAAGCACGUAACUCUCUCAUCCCAGACGAUGCCAGUACCCACCACAUCAUAGUACCCCCUUACUCAAUAGCAUGAUUUUUUCUCAUUGUCUACAUACUCAUUAGCUCCGGUGAACUUGUCUCCGCUCUCCAAUAGCAACUUUUCACCAUUGAAGAAUUGUUCUUUACAAUACAUGUACAAAGCUACAUUCUUUAGAAGAUGGUAAUUCAUCAUAAGAGAUCCCGCCACAACCGCCAAUAUCACCACCAAGCUACCACGGGCAACACCCACCGCGACUGGAAUAAUGGAAUGAGUAACCACCAACAGUCCCAUUAAAAGCCCGUCAAACAGCAUCGUGUACGAAGCUAUCCAUCUCUUCCCCUUUAACAAAUUCGCACUUCUCCUCAAUGCUUCGAAACCAAACUUAGAUUCAACCACUGCUAUCACAUAAGCUAAUAACCAAUUCACCUGUAGCCAAAGAAGAAUCGGUACAAUCACAAUCAACGAGAAAAAACACAAAUAUAAAAAGUGAUUCAGGUCGUAUUUGAGUUCAAUUAAUCCGAUAGAUCGAAGAAUUUGGACUAGGAAAACUACGACUAUAACGAAAAACAGAGCAAUUGAAAUGAGAAUGGUAUGAGAGAGGAUAAAAGUUGAGAGAAGAGGAAAGAAGGAAUUUCUAAUAGAUUUAACAGAGGAAAGAAGAUUGAUCGGUUUAUCGCACAAUGCUUGAGCAGCACUGUGUGUAAUAGUGGCUACGGCACAGAGGUAAAAUAGGGAUAUACAGAGAGUGUAUAGUAUGGGUAAGACAAUUUCGAAACUGGAAAUGGGAAGGUAGUGAGAGUCAAGUUGGUAGAAAUUGUAGUCGGGAUGAAAGAGGGCGAGGUGGAAAGAAGGAUAUACGAUGAGAGUGAACAAUGGUAAGAAGAAGAGAAUUGAAAGUCCAUGGAGAUGUCGAGGGUGAGACUUCAUUAUGCGGUGAAUUGGUUUCAGGAUCUCUACCCGUUGGCUACCAUUUUCGGUAGGAGUAGACAUCGGAGUUAAGUGAGAAGAAGAAGACGACAACCACUACAAUUGCUUCAGCAGGAGCUGCUGCCCAAGAUGUGUGUGAAAACUGAAGGUAAAACAGUACACAAGUAUUAUUUCCUUUUGGCUUAUCCUACAACUCUUGUGGUUCCUAG
rnacentral:misc_RNA from 1 species